GUUUUACUGAUAUUUCAUUCGCGAACGAAUCAUUCGUUUGAACCGAUUCACUUGAACUAUUUCACAAUGCUUUUGUAAACUGCUUCACUGUGACUAAAGACUGUAUGGUUACACCAUAUAAAUAAGCAUUCCGUGUUCAACAAAAUAUUUAUGGAAAUACUUAUUUGAUUACAUGAAACUGUUCACUUCUGUGAUGUGUGAACAGACUCGCUAAAACGAGUUCGCCGAGCGAACCGAUUACUUUAAACCAAAUCAGACGGCUCACCGUUAUAGUGUUGUAUUAGAGUGGAGGAUCGUGUGUAUCACAGAGAAGCCGGAUUGUCUUUCAUCAGGGUUUGUACAUGGUGAAUUUCAUUUGUUAGCUUCAGUCCUGCUCUGCCAAAUCUCACAGCAUGUCGGGUGCCUACGAUGAGUCCGCCAUGUCCGACGAGACCACGGACAGUUUCUGGGAGGUCAGGCUCAAAAUUUAACUAAAUGAUGUUUUUUGAAUAUUAUUAAUCACAUAUGUACUGUAGGUAAAAUAUCUCAUUUGUGCAAGCAACCACAGCUGUGAAGCUUUGGUGGAAGAUUAGAUGCCAAACAUGCUGUUAGUGCUGCUGUCAUGUGAUGUAUCAUAUUGAUUAAUUGACUUUAAAUGCUGUAGAAUUGUGUCAUUCAUCCAAAGGGCAAACAAACAUUAUAUUGUUCAUCAUGAUAUUAACAUAGUAUUAGAAGUAAAACUGUGUCAUUGUUGAUUUAUCUGCCAUAUAUUACAGAGCAGACUGUAGUAGGAUCCCAUUCAUUUUCUCCACAGAGAAAUAGAUUUUUAAUAGAUAAUGUAUAAACCUUUCAAGACAGACCUAGCAUGUGUCUUGAGAUUGUUACAGACAAGAAAAUGUGAUUUUGACUUCAUAUAAAAAUGUGUUUGAUAGAAUAGAAUAUCUGGUUAAGGACUAACACUACCCAUAAUCCUAAGAGAGAUCUUCCAAACUAGAUGCUCUUAAACUUAUGUUAUCACAUGUAUAAUAAAUAUAAAAUUAAUUAUACUGAAUUAAAAUAA
ensembl:lncRNA